GACGAAGGUGGCGAGCGUUGUUCGGAAUUACUGGGCGUAAAGCGCGCGUAGGCGGUUUUGCAAGCCAGAGGUGAAAUGCCUGAGCUCAACUUAGGAAUUGCCUUUGGGACUGCGAGGCUUUGAGGACUGGAGAGGUGAGUGGAAUUCCCAGUGUAGAGGUGAAAUUCGUAGAUAUUGGGAAGAACACCGGUGGCGAAGGCGGCUCACUGGCCAGUUUCUGACGCUGCAGCGCGAAAGCGUGGGGAUCAAACAGG
rnacentral:rRNA from 1 species